CAAAGACUGUUGCUAAGAUAUACCAAUAACUGUUGCUAAGGUAUACCAAUAACUGUUGCUAAGCUAUACCAAUAACUGUUCCUGAGGUACACCAAUAACUGUUGCUAAGAUAUACCAAUAACUGUUGCUAAUGUAUACCAAUAACUGUUGCUAAUGUAUACCAAUAACUGUUGCUAGGGUAUACCAAUAAUUGUUGCUAAGGUGUACCAAAUACAAUAAAUAUGGCUAAGGUAUACCAAUAACUGUUGCUAGGGUAUACCAAUAACUGUUGCUAAGGUAUGUAUACCAAUAACUGUUGCUAGGGUAUACCAAUAACUGUUGCUAAGGUGUACCAAAUACAAUAAAUAUGGCUAAGGUAUACCAAUAACUGUUGCUAGGGU